AGAGUUUGAUCAUGGCUCAGAGCGAACGCUGGCGGCAGGCUUAACACAUGCAAGUCGAGCGGGCGUAGCAAUACGUCAGCGGCAGACGGGUGAGUAACGCGUGGGAACGUACCUUUUGGUUCGGAACAACACAGGGAAACUUGUGCUAAUACCGGAUAAGCCCUUACGGGGAAAGAUUUAUCGCCGAAAGAUCGGCCCGCGUCUGAUUAGCUAGUUGGUAGGGUAAUGGCCCACCAAGGCGACGAUCAGUAGCUGGUCUGAGAGGAUGAUCAGCCACAUUGGGACUGAGACACGGCCCAAACUCCUACGGGAGGCAGCAGUGGGGAAUAUUGGACAAUGGGGGCAACCCUGAUCCAGCCAUGCCGCGUGAGUGAUGAAGGCCCUAGGGUUGUAAAGCUCUUUUGUGCGGGAAGAUAAUGACGGUACCGCAAGAAUAAGCCCCGGCUAACUUCGUGCCAGCAGCCGCGGUAAUACGAAGGGGGCUAGCGUUGCUCGGAAUCACUGGGCGUAAAGGGUGCGUAGGCGGGUCUUUAAGUCAGGGGUGAAAUCCUGGAGCUCAACUCCAGAACUGCCUUUGAUACUGAAGAUCUUGAGUUCGGGAGAGGUGAGUGGAACUGCGAGUGUAGAGGUGAAAUUCGUAGAUAUUCGCAAGAACACCAGUGGCGAAGGCGGCUCACUGGCCCGAUACUGACGCUGAGGCACGAAAGCGUGGGGAGCAAACAGGAUUAGAUACCCUGGUAGUCC
rnacentral:rRNA from 1 species